AAUCCAACCCUGUUCCUGGAGAGCUACCCUCCUGUAGGUUUUAAAUCCAACCCUGUUCCUGGAGAGCUACCCUCCUGUAGGUUUUAAAUCCAACCCUGUUCCUGGAGAGCUACCCUCCUGUAGGUUUUAAAUCCAACCCUGUUCCUGGAGAGCUACCCUCCUGUAGGUUUUAAAUCCAACCCUGUUCCUGAAGAGCUACCCUCCUGUAGGUUUUAAAUCCAACCCUGUUCCUGGAGAGCUACCCUCCUGUAGGUUUUCGCUCCAACCCUGUUCCUGAAGAGCUACCCUCCUGUAGGUUUUAAAUCCAACCCUGUUCCUGGAGAGCUACCCUCCUGUAGGUUUUAAAUCCAACCCUGUUCCUGGAGAGCUACCCUCCUGUAGGUUUUAAAUCCAACCCUGUUCCUGGAGAGCUACCCUCCUGUAGGUUUUAAAUCCAACCCUGUUCCUGGAGAGCUACCCUCCUGUAGGUUUUAAAUCCAACCCUGUUCCUGGAGAGCUACCCUCCUGUAGGUUUUAAAUCCAACCCUGUUCCUGGAGAGCUACCCUCCUGUAGGUUUUAAAUCCAACCCUGUUCCUGGAGAGCUACCCUCCUGUAGGUUUUAAAUCCAACCCUGUUCCUGGAGAGCUACCCUCCUGUAGGUUUUAAAUCCAACCCUGUUCCUGGAGAGCUACCCUCCUGUAGGUUUUAAAUCCAACCCUGUUCCUGGAGAGCUACCCUCCUGUAGGUUUUAAAUCCAACCCUGUUCCU